UACAGAGGGUGCAAGCGUUGUUCGGAAUUAUUGGGCGUAAAGGGAGUGUAGGCGGUUAGUUAAGUCUUCUGUGAAAUCUACGGGCUCAGCCCGUAACGUGCAGGGGAAACUGGCUGACUUGAGUGUCGGAGAGGAUAGUGGAAUUCCAGGUGUAGAGGUGAAAUUCGUAGAGAUCUGGAGGAACACCAGUGGCGAAGGCGACUAUCGUGGCUGACAACUGACGCUGAGACUCGAAAGCAUGGGGAGCAAACAGGAU
rnacentral:rRNA from 1 species